rnacentral:rRNA from 1 species
ACUGGUCGAGUCGGCCUGCGCGGAAGAUGUAACGGGGCUAAACCAUGCACCGAAGCUGCGGCAGCGACGCUGAUGCGUUGUUGGGUAGGGGAGCGUUCUGUAAGCCUGUGAAGGUGGCCUGUGAGGGUUGCUGGAGGUAUCAGAAGUGCGAAUGCUGACAUAAGUAACGAUAAAGCGGGUGAAAAGCCCGCUCGCCGGAAGACCAAGGGUUCCUGUCCAACGUUAAUCGGGGCAGGGUGAGUCGACCCCUAAGGCGAGGCCGAAAGGCGUAGUCGAUGGGAAACGGGUUAAUAUUCCCGUACUUGGUGUUACUGCGAAGGGGGGACGGAGAAGGCUAUGUUGGCCGGGCGACGGUUGUCCCGGUUUAAGCGUGUAGGUGUGUGUUCCAGGUAAAUCCGGUUCACUUUAACACUGAGGCGUGAUGACGAGGCACUACGGUGCUGAAGCAACAAAUGCCCUGCUUCCAGGAAAAGCCUCUAAGCAUCAGGUAACAUCAAAUCGUACCCCAAACCGACACAGGUGGUCAGGUAGAGAAUACCAAGGCGCUUGAGAGAACUCGGGUGAAGGAACUAGGCAAAAUGGUGCCGUAACUUCGGGAGAAGGCACGCUGACACGUAGGUGAAGUGAUUUACUCAUGGAGCUGAAGUCAGUCGAAGAUACCAGCUGGCUGCAACUGUUUAUUAAAAACACAGCACUGUGCAAACACGAAAGUGGACGUAUACGGUGUGACGCCUGCCCGGUGCCGGAAGGUUAAUUGAUGGGGUCAGCGCAAGCGAAGCUCCUGAUCGAAGCCCCGGUAAACGGCGGCCGUAACUAUAACGGUCCUAAGGUAGCGAAAUUCCUUGUCGGGUAAGUUCCGACCUGCACGAAUGGCGUAAUGAUGGCCAGGCUGUCUCCACCCGAGACUCAGUGAAAUUGAACUCGCUGUGAAGAUGCAGUGUACCCGCGGCAAGACGGAAAGACCCCGUGAACCUUUACUAUAGCUUGACACUGAACAUUGAGCCUUGAUGUGUAGGAUAGGUGGGAGGCUUUGAAGUGUGGACGCCAGUCUGCAUGGAGCCGGCCUUGAAAUACCACCCUUUAAUGUUUGAUGUUCUAACGUGGACCCGUGAUCCGGGUUGCGGACAGUGUCUGGUGGGUAGUUUGACUGGGGCGGUCUCCUCCUAAAGAGUAACGGAGGAGCACGAAGGUUGGCUAAUCCUGGUCGGACAUCAGGAGGUUAGUGCAAUGGCAUAAGCCAGCUUGACUGCGAGCGUGACGGCGCGAGCAGGUGCGAAAGCAGGUCAUAGUGAUCCGGUGGUUCUGAAUGGAAGGGCCAUCGCUCAACGGAUAAAAGGUACUCCGGGGAUAACAGGCUGAUACCGCCCAAGAGUUCAUAUCGACGGCGGUGUUUGGCACCUCGAUGUCGGCUCAUCACAUCCUGGGGCUGAAGUAGGUCCCAAGGGUAUGGCUGUUCGCCAUUUAAAGUGGUACGCGAGCUGGGUUUAGAACGUCGUGAGACAGUUCGGUCCCUAUCUGCCGUGGGCGCUGGAGAACUGAGGGGGGCUGCUCCUAGUACGAGAGGACCGGAGUGGACGCAUCACUGGUGUUCGGGUUGUCAUGCCAAUGGCACUGCCCGGUAGCUAAAUGCGGAAGAGAUAAGUGCUGAAAGCAUCUAAGCACGAAACUUGCCCCGAGAUGAGUUCUCCCUGAGACUUAGAGUCUCCUGAAGGAACGUUGAAGACGACGACGUUGAUAGGCCGGGUGUGUAAGCGCAGCGAUGCGUUGAGCUAACCGGUACUAAUGAACCGUGAGGCUUAACCUUACA